GAUGAAGAACGCAGUGAAAUGCGAUAAGUAGUGUGAAUUGCAGAAUUCAGUGAAUCAUCGAAUCUUUGAACGCACAUUGCGCCCUUUGGUAUUCCAAAGGGCAUGCCUGUUCGAGCGUCAUUUGUACCCUCAAGCUUUGCUUGGUGUUGGGCGUCUUGUCUCUAGCUUUGCUGGAGACUCGCCUUAAAGUAAUUGGCAGCCGGCCUACUGGUUUCGGAGCGCAGCACAAGUCGCACUCUCUAUCAGCAAAGGUCUAGCAUCCAUUAAGCCUUUUUUUCAACUUUUGACCUCGGAUCAGGUAGGGAUACCCGCUGAACUUAAGCAUACAAUAAGCGGAGGA
rnacentral:misc_RNA from 1 species